ACCGGGACUGUUUUCAUCAAUCCAUUUUUUGAUCUUAGGAAGAUACUUGUUCUUUUGACGAAGAAAGUCACGCUCACUCAUGUUGACGAGGUAAAUAACAGGUUUAGCAGUAAGCAAAUACAAGCUGUUAAUUAUUUCAACCUCACGAUUAGACCAAUCACCCUUACGGAUAGGUUGCUUGGUCUCGGUUAAGUACUGGUAAACUUUUUCAAUUAUAGCUUGCUCUUCUUUUUUGGCUUUCAUUUCCAAGGUAUUGGCACCACGAGAAGUAAUUUUACGAAGGCCUUCGAGAUGCUUUUCUACAAAUUCGGCAUCCUUGAUCAAGAGCUCAUCAACAAUAAUGGACAAGUCACGAAUAGGAUCGACAUCACCUUCAACAUGAAUAAUUUCGGCAUCAUCAAAGGCACGAACAACCUGAUAAAUGGCAUCAACAGCACGAACAUGAGACAAAAAUGCGUUUCCUAAACCCACACCAGUACUAGCACCUUUGGUAAGACCAGCAAUAUCGAAAACGGUAAGGAAAGCAGGAACUCUACUUUUAGGCUUGUAAGCCUCACAAAGCCAGUCGAAACGUUCAUCAGGAACGGCGACCUUUGCCUCUUCAGGAUCAAUAGUAGCGUAGGGAUAGUUAGCAGGGUUACCCAAAACAGACUUGGUGAUGGCACGGAAGAAAGUGGACUUUCCAACAUUGGGCAUACCGACGAUACCAGUCUUUAAGUUGUUACCAGGGCGACCCCAUUGGACUUUGACAACUUCUUGCUGUUUUUUGGGAGGCAUGAUUAACAAUUAAAAUGAACAAGAGAGUAUUGGAACCACAGGUGAAUUAGCAGUAUCUGAACAAGAUCAAUAAAUUCAAAAUUGCUAAAUCAAGACAAACAAAAAAAAGUUGAAGUUACUCUAAAGCAGUUCUGGUUAGCAACAGGUACUUGAUGGAACAUUAAGGGAUCUUUUAGGAAUUCAUGUAAGGUAAACAAAAACAAUACACUCUCAGACUUCUUCUACACUUCCAAAUUAUAUAUAUCACUUUA